rnacentral:rRNA from 1 species
CCAAAAACAUAGCCUUAUUAACAUCAAUAUAAGAUGAAACCUGCUCAAUGGCUACGAAUAAAAAAUAACAGUAGUUAAAUAGCCGCGGUAACUCUGACCGUGAUAAAGUAGCAUAAUCACUCGUCAUUUAAUUGGUGACUGGAAUGAACGGUUACACGAAUCUCUAACUGUCUCAAUAGUAACAUUUAUGAAAUUGAAUUGAUAGUGAAGAUACUAUCUACUAAUUGUAAGACGAAAAGACCCUAUCGAGCUUUA